ensembl:lncRNA
AAAAAACUUGUGUUAUGGAUUUCCAUCCUCUGACCUAUUAUGGAUUGAGAGUUAACUGUCUAAUAGAACACAGAGGGUUUUCAUUAAUGGAAGCCAUGUAAAUUCAGUUGACUGUGGUGUACCGCAGGGCAGCCGGUUAGGGUCAUUAUUGAUUUCUGUUUUUACAAAUGACCCUCCACUGACCUUGAAUAAAAUCUUUGUUUCUAUGUACGUUGACAAUUCAACAGUAUACACAUCGGCUGCAACAGUAAACUAAAUAACAGACCCCUAACAUAGAACUCCAGUCAGUUUUAGAAUGGGUAACUAGCAAUAGGCUGGUGCUGAAUUAUGCUUUUAGUUUUUGAGAUAUUUUUCUGACAAAUUACCCACAGGUAUUUUAUUGAAUAAUGUGGCUAUUGAGCAAGUUGAGGAGACUAAACUGCUGGGUGUAACCCUAGAUAGCAUGCUGUCAUGGUCAAAACAUAGACUCAAUGGUUGCUAAAAUGGGAAGAGGUCUGGCCAUGAUAGGGCGUUGCUCUAUCAAAGUGUCAGUAACAUGCAUGUCAGUCUCUCCUGGCUCAAAGUUGAGGAGAGAUUGACUGCAUCCCUAUUGGUCUUUGUGCGAGGUGUUGAAGAUACCAAACUGUCUGUUCAAGCAGUAGGCACACAGUUUGGACACUCGUUGGUUCAACACAAAACAUGCCACCAGAGGUCUCUUCACAGUCCCCAGGUCCAGAACAGAGGCUGGGAAACACAAAAUAUGAAAUAGAGCCACGACUACAUCAAACUCUCUGCCACCCCAGGUAACUCAAGCUAGGGGACCCCAGGUAACUCAAGCUAGGGGACCCCCAGGUAACUCAAGCUAGCAAUAAAAACAGAUAUAAUAACACCUUAUGGAGGACUGUGAAGAGACACAGGUAUUUUGAUAUCUUUGUAUUGUAACCUGCGCUGUACUAUGCAUUAGACCUAGAUACAUGCCACCAGAGGUCUCUUCACAGUCCCCAGGUCCAGUGUGCCUACUGCAUGUACUCAUAUGAUAGCUGUGUGUGAAGUUUUAAAUGCAUGUAUUUCAGUCCUUGACUAAAAACGAUCUUUCCGUACUAUGUAUUGCUUCCUGUGGACCCCAGGAAGAGUAGCUGAUGCUUUUGCAGCGACUAAUGAGGAUCCCCUAAUAAAUACCAGGACCAAUUAGUGGGCAAAAGACCAGAAUCGAGCUGCCUGUGUAAACGCACCCUAAGAGGAAAGCAGUUACUAUUGCACGUUCAGACGUGAAUAGUGUUCAUUUAGUUUGAUUAGGCUUUUCAUGUCAGAUAUGGUAUAAACACUACAGUAUAUGGCGAUGUAUCCAUGCAAAGCUACACAUUAUUUGGUCAUGGGGCGGCAGGGUAGCCUAGUGGUUAGAGUGUAGAGGCGGCAGGGUAGCCUAGUGGUUAGAGUGUAGGGGCGGCAGGGUAGCCUAGUGGUUAGAGUGUAGAGGCAGCAGGGUAGCCUAGUGGUUAGAGCGUUGGACUAGUAACCGGAAGGUUGCAAGUUCAAAUCCCCGAGCUGACAAGGCACAAAUCUGUCGUUCUGCCCCUGAACAGGCCGUUAACCCACUGUUCCUAGGCCGUCGUUGAAAAUAAGAAUUUGUUCUUAUUAACUGACUUGCCUGGUUAAAUAAAGGUUAAACAAAAAAAUAAAUGUAUGGCUUAUAUAUUAUUAUUAUUAUUAUACAAAAUAGAGAAUUUGAAAUGACAUGUUACAGGAGUGCAAAUACAACUGUCAAUUUAAAGCGAUUAUAUUUCCCAACUAGAUAGUUUUUUAAAAACGGAAUACAUUGGGAGUGUUAGGGAGAG